rnacentral:rRNA from 1 species
AGUAAUGCUUGGGAAUCUAGCUUAUGGAGGGGGAUAACUACGGGAAACUGUAGCUAAUACCGCGUAGAAUCGGGAGAUGAAAGUGUGGGACCUUCGGGCCACAUGCCAUAGGAUGAGCCCAAGUGGGAUUAGGUAGUUGGUGAGGCAAAGGCUCACCAAGCCGACGAUCUCUAGCUGGUCUGAGAGGAUGACCAGCCACACUGGGACUGAGACACGGCCCAG